CCUUAUCACUUAUCUUGUCCAGU
rnacentral:miRNA from 10 species